UCUGAAAGUGUGUGAUUCUAAAAUUCAGUGUUCCCUAAGUGCAAAGCUCUGAAAAUCUGGGAAUCUUUGACUGUUGGAUGUUAAGAACUCAGG